GAUGAAGAACGCAGCGAAAUGCGAUAAGUAGUGUGAAUUGCAGAAUUCAGUGAAUCAUCGAAUCUUUGAACGCACAUUGCGCCCUUUGGUAUUCCUUAGGGCAUGCCUGUUCGAGCGUCAUUUAAACCUUCAAGCUCAGCUUGGUGUUGGGUGACUGUCCGCUUCACCGCGGACUCGCCUCAAAAUUAUUGGCGGCCGGUACAUUGGCUUCGAGCGCAGCAGAAACGCGAACUCGGGCCCGUCGUAUUGGCUCCCAGAAGCUAUCUUCACAAUUUUGAGCUCGGAUCAGGUAGGGAUACCCGCUGAACUUAAGCAUAUCAAUAAGCGGAGGA
rnacentral:misc_RNA from 1 species